CAGCAGCCGCGGUAAUACGUAGGUGGCAAGCGUUCUCCGGAAUUAUUGGGCGUAAAGGGCUCGCAGGCGGUCUCUUAACUCUGAUGUGAAAGCCCCCGGCUCAACCGGGGAGGGUCAUUGGAAACUGGGGAACUUGAGUGCAGAAGAGGAGAGUGGAAUUCCACGUGUAGCGGUGAAAUGCGUAGAGAUGUGGAGGAACACCAGUGGGGAAGGCGACUCUCUGCUCUGUAACUGACGCUGAGGAGCGAAAGCGUGGGGAGCGAACAGGAUUAGAUACCCUGGUACUCCACGCCGUAAACGAUGAGUGCUAAGUGUUAGGGGGUCUCCGCCCCUUAGUGCUGCAGCUAACGCAUUAAGCACUCCGCCUGGGGAGUACGCUCGCAAGACUGAAACUCAAA
rnacentral:rRNA from 1 species